UACGGGGGGGGCAAGCGUUGUUCGGAAUUACUGGGCGUAAAGGGCUCGUAGGCGGCCAACUAAGUCAGACGUGAAAUCCCUCGGCUUAACCGGGGAACUGCGUCUGAUACUGGAUGGCUUGAGUUUGGGAGAGGGAUGCGGAAUUCCAGGUGUAGCGGUGAAAUGCGCAGAUAUCAGGAGGAACACCGGUGGCGAAGGCGGUUCUCUGGGCAUUACCUGACGCUGAGGAGCGAAAGUGUGGGGAGCGAACAGG
rnacentral:rRNA from 1 species